GUGAACCGCAGCGCGCUCGGGGAGUUCGGCGAGGCGCAGCUGUACCGCCAGUUCACCACCACCGUGCAAGUCGUCAUCUUCAUAGGCUCGCUGCUUGCCUUUCCACCUGGUACCACCUUCCCAAAUGGAGCCAGUGUGUGGGCAUUCCAAGGCGCCCAGCACCAUAUUAAUUGAGAAUGGAACUUAUGUUUCAUUUUCAGGUACUACUCAGUCCUCUAUCCACUGGAGAGGAAAAUAUCUGAUGCCAAGUCCCGUGAACUGGUGAUGUACAUCUGGGCCCAUGCAGUGGUGGCCAGUGUCCCUGUGUUUGCAGUAACCAAUGUGGCCGACAUCUAUGCCACGUCCACCUGCACAGAAGUCUGGAGCAACUCCUUGGGCCACCUGGUGUACGUUCUGGUGUAUAACAUCACCACGGUCAUUGUGCCUGUGGUGGUGGUGUUCCUCUUCUUGAUACUGAUCCGACGGGCCCUGAGUGCCAGCCAGAAGAAGAAGGUCAUCAUAGCAGCGCUCCGGACCCCACAGAACACCAUCUCUAUUCCCUAUGCCUCCCAGCGGGAGGCCGAGCUGCACGCCACCCUGCUCUCCAUGGUGAUGGUCUUCAUCUUGUGUAGCGUGCCCUAUGCCACCCUGGUCGUCUACCAGACCGUGCUCAAUGUCCCCGACACUUCCGUCUUCUUGCUGCUCACUGCCGUUUGGCUGCCCAAAGUCUCCCUACUGGCAAACCCUGUUCUCUUUCUUACUGUGAACAAAUCUGUCCGCAAGUGCUUGAUAGGGACCCUGGUGCAACUACACCACCGGUACAGUCGCCGUAAUGUGGUCAGUACAGGG
rnacentral:sRNA from 1 species